ACGGGAGGCAGCAGUGGGGAAUAUUGGGCAAUGGGGGAAACCCUGACCCAGCAAUGCCGCGUGAAGGAUGAAGGUCUUCGGAUUGUAAACUUCUUUGAUUGGGGAAGAAUAAAUGACCUACCCAAAGAACAAGUCACGGCUAACUACGUGCCAGCAGCCGCGGUAAUACGUAGGUGACAAGCGUUAUCCGGAUUUACUGGGUGUAAAGGGCGUGUAGGCGGCUUUGCAAGUCAGAUGUGAAAUUCCCGAGCUCAACUUGGGCGCUGCAUCUGAAACUGCAGAACUUGAGUGCUGGAGAGGAAAGCGGAAUUCCUAGUGUAGCGGUAAAAUGCGCAGAUAUUAGGAGGAACACCGGUGGCGAAGGCGGCUUUCUGGACAGUAACUGACGCUGAGGCGCGAAAGCGUGGGGAGCAAACAGGAUUAGAUACCCUGGUA
rnacentral:rRNA from 1 species